rnacentral:rRNA from 1 species
GACGAACGCUGGCGGCGUGCUUAACACAUGCAAGUCGAACGGUGAAGCGCCUUCCUUUUUGGUGGGUGUGGAUGAGUGGCGAACGGGUGAGUAACACGUGAGUAACCUGCCCCCUUCUUCUGGAUAACCGCAUGAAAGUGUGGCUAAUACGGGAUAUUCUGGGUCUGUCGCAUGAUGGGUCUGGGAAAGAUAUUGUUUCGGUGGGGGAUGGGCUCGCGGCCUAUCAGCUUGUUGGUGGGGUGAUGGCCUACCAAGGCGGUGACGGGUAGCCGGCCUGAGAGGGUGGACGGUCACACUGGGACUGAGACACGGCCGAGACUCCUACGGGAGGCAGCAGUGGGGAAUAUUGCACAAUGGGCGCAAGCCCGAUGCAGCGACGCCGCGUGAGGGAUGGAGGCCUUCGGGUUGUGAACCUCUUUCGCCAGUGAAGCAGGCCUGCCUCGUUUGUGGGUGGGUUGACGGUAGCUGGAUAAGAAGCGCCGGCUAACUACGUG